CCAAAGGCCCUUUUCAGGGCCGCCCACCUUUUCCUUUAAAAGAGCU
rfam:Cavia porcellus supercont2_38 genomic scaffold, whole genome shotgun sequence.